rnacentral:rRNA from 1 species
UCGCCUGUUUAUCAAAAACAUGUCCUCUUGUUUAAUUAUAUGAGGUCUAACCUGCCCAAUGAUUUUAUUUAAUGGCCGCGGUAUAUUAACUGUGCUAAGGUAGCAUAAUCAUUUGUCUUUUAAUUGGAGGCUAGAAUGAAUGGUUGGACGAGAUAUAAGCUUUCUUUAAUUUAUUAUUAGAAUUUAACUUUUUAGUCAAAAGGCUAAAAUAUUUUUGAGGGACGAGAAGACCCUGUAGAUCUUAAUAUUUAAUGUUAUUGUGUAUUUUAGUGAAUUAAUUAUCUACAAUAAUUUUAUGUAUUUGGUUGGGGCGACUGUGGAAUAUUAAUUAACUUCUAUUUAAGAUUUUCAUUAAUUAAUGUUUUUUUGAUCCAUUAUUACUGAUUAAAAGAUUAAGUUACCUCAGGGAUAACAGCGUAAUUCUUUCGGAGAGUUCUUAUCGAUGAAAGAGUUUGCGACCUCGAUGUUGGAUUAAAAUAAGUUGUAGGUGUAGGAGUUUGCAAACUAGGUCUGUUCGACCUUUAAUUUUUUACAUGAUCUGAGU